rnacentral:rRNA from 1 species
GUGAAUCUGUAUUCUACACUAAUGUAUACCGAAUUGUGGUCUGUAGACUUUGACGUUAACAUGCCGGGCCAAGUCCCUUGGAACAGGGCAGCAGAGAGGGUGAGACUCCCGUUCGCCUGGUGGUGUGAGUCAAAUGUCAACGAGUCGAGUUGUUUGGGAUUGCAGCUCUAAUUUGGUGGUAAAUUCCAUCUAAAGCUAAAUAUUGGUGGGAGACCGAUAGCGUACAAGUACCGUGAGGGAAAGAUGCAAAGAACUUUGAAAAGAGAGUUAAAGAGUACCUGAAAUUGCUGAAACGGAAGCGAAGGAAACCAGUGUCUGAUUGUACCAUACUUCCCUUGCCACUUGUGGUCUGGGCGCUGUGGUGCUUUCAUAGGUCUGCCUUGGUUGUGUCUCUCUGGAAGAGCGCCCACAGAGUUGAUGUGGGUUGCUAGCAUUGGACUUGACUGAGUGCAUACGAAAUGGUUUUCUUUACCCCGUCUUGAAACACGGACCAAGGAG